rnacentral:misc_RNA from 1 species
CCGUGUGCUUGGUUUGUCCAAAUGACAAAUAUAUAAUAGAACAGAAGGCAUGCAAACCAUGAUCCAAUGAUUAAAGAGAUGAAAGUUAAAAAGGAAACCCGCAAUUCAUAACAUUCUACCAAAAAAAAAGCAUUCGCACACAAUCUUUCGACAAGCUGCAACACGUGAAAUUAUGGCACAAAAACCAUGGAAACACAUUAUCUGCCAAAAUGAUAUCAAAGAUGUUGGACGAAUUCUAAUUUGGUUUAACGAUAGCCCUGCAAUGGAUCAGCUGCUUUGCCUGAUCUUGCAUCAGUCCAUGCUUUUGCAAUGGUUUUUUUCAUUUCAUCAUCCCCUUCUUCGUACAUAUUCUUCAUUAAGUCCAUAAUUCCAGCCAUGGGAUCUCGAUCCUUACCCAGAUUUGGCUUCAGCUUGUCCUCUUUGUAGUGCAAGUCUAACCAGUUACCCUUCGAAGCUUUAAACAAAGUGAUGAUAACCCUGGUAGGCUUAACUAACACUUUACAUUUCUCCGGUUCUAUCUCCUUGUUCAAUUUUGGUAUCGCACAUCGGUAGUUCUUUCCUUGCACAUCAUGGAAUUUGACAUCGAAUGACAUUGGCUUGAAGUCUGUCUCAAUAUUUUCUUGCUUGACACCCUCUAGAGAGACAUAUAUCUUGACUUUGUCAUUGUCCUGAUCCCAGCUGAAAGAUCCAAGCGUAACAUAAUUCAGAGCAGGGGUUGGAGGCACCUUGACUCCAGUUGCUAAUUGAGUUGGAGUUGGAACAGGUACAGAAAUAGGCUCCUUUGACAACUUCUCCAAGUUGCGUAUCUCAGAGGAGAUGAGCGAGAGGACUCUUGGCCUCUUGGCUAAGCUUUGUAGCUGCCUUAGCUCCUCCAAAUCCAACGCCAAUUCGUCACCCAUUUUUCCUUCUUUUUCUGUACAAAUGAAAUAGAAGAGAGUGAUUUUAUAAGUGAAUAAAAAGGAACAUAACACUGCUGUGUGUGGAAAAUGCUA